GGCUCAAUGGUCUAGUAGUAUGAUUCGCGCUUCGGGUUAUUCCCCGUUUGAUUACGUAAGCUGCGCGAGGUCCCGGGUUCAAUUCCCGGUUGAGCCC